GUCUGUCCGCAUUCAAUUUCUUCAAGCUCCGAAAGAAACCAGCCAUCUCCUACGCUAAUCAUGGCCGUCUCCCUGCACUGCAUCAAUCAGCCCGGCGAAGAGAGCGUCACCGAGGGUCCCAGGCCCGCCGCCGCCGGACGCCGUUCUAUACUUCUUCCAUCACCGUGUCCCUUCUGCCUUAGCCACCAGCCGUUCGGAAACUAAAUCAACGGCUCAGAUUGCUUGGGCCCGUUUGCCAGGUGAAUGGUUGGUUAGUGCUCGGCCGGUUAUGCGGCCCAGCCCAGGCCCAAACCCAAAGAGAUCACCGGCGAAGAGAGCGCCGCGGCAGCGGCGGGGUGGCGGCGGCGCGGCCAUGAGGAUGAGCUCGCUACCCCGAAGAGGCCUGUUUGGAACUUCGGAUAAACCCAUUCCCUCCUGAUCUGUGUGGAUUGGAGUGAAAAUAAGGUCUGUGCACGCUUGUGUUUGUGGUAUGCGAUAGGAAAAAUAAAUGUAAUACCUUCUCGCCAAGAGCAUCCUGAACCACGAGGGUAUCACUGGACAUCCUGGAAACUGCUUGGCCUGUUGUCAACUCUGUAUCGAAGAAUGCAAUAUCUUGUCUCAGGACUGCAUUAAGGUAUAAAGAACGGAUGCGGGCUGACUGCCUUUCUCCGGCCAUCGUCCAGCAAGACACCUCUGGGACAAGUGAAAAGUGAGCCUUGUAUUAGCAUUUGAACCGUACCGUACGAGUAGAACUAAAUUCUCUAACAAAGAAAUGGCUAUGUGAAUGAUUCGUAGCUACUUCCUUUGAGAAUACUAAAUGGUUAUAUGUAUUGGGUGGUUUUGGUUUGGUUUGUACAGUACUAACAAUUUUUCCCUGUAUAA